AGUGCUAUACUCUUAAAUAUAUCAAUAAAUCUAUUAAAUGUAAAUAUACUAAAUAUUCCAAUUAAAAAGCUAAGACUGUUGGUCUGGAUAAAGACACAAACCCAAAUGUAAGUUGUCUAUAAGAGAUAUGCCUUAAAUAGGAUUUAAAUUAUAAGUUAAGAAAAAGUAAAAAUCUGUUCCUAUAAACACAAAUGUAAUUUCUGUAGAUUUGUGAUGUAAUUUUAAUAUAAAAUUUGAUAAUGUUUAGGGCAAGAAACAUUACUAAAGAUAAAGGGGGAAAUGUCAUAAUGCUAAAGGGGCAAAUUCACAUGAAGGUAUUGCAAAUCAAUAUUACCUGAAUGAAAUAAUACAGCUUCAAAAUAUAUAAAGUAAAAAUUAAUAGAAUUAAAAGGAGAAAUAGCCAUAUCCAUAAUCACAGUGGGAAGCUUUUACACUUCUCUCUGGAUAUAUCAAUCAGAUGAAAAGUCAAUAAGGUUAUAGAAUGUCUAUAUAAAACAGUUAAAAAUAUCUUGAGAUAAUUGACAUUAUAAGACACUCCACCAAACAAAAGGGUCUUCAAAGGCCUAUAGAAUAUUCAAUCAUACAGUGAUUCAAAAUGUAGAAUAAUCAAAAUAUAGAAUGAUUUACAAUUAUUCAGCAAGUAUUGUCAGACAACUAAAGAAUUAAGCUAGAAAAUCUGCAAUUGGACUGGGCACAGUGGCUCACACCUGUAAUCCCAGCACUUUGGGAGGCUGAGGCAGGUAGAUCACCUGAGCUCAGGAGUUAGAGACCAGCCUUGGCAACA